CUACGUUGCGAUCCAGAGAUUUAUGUAAUUUUUGUUUCAUAAUAAAAUAUAAAUAAUUUAACAUUCAGUCGUACACAAUACUUCAAAGUGCCAAGUCCAAAAGUCCAUGCGUACUGCUCGCUUAAAAAUAAUAUCAGUAUGGAUACAUUAAAUAAAGAAAUCUUGAAAAUUCUUUUUCUAGAAAAAGAUGAUGAUUAGAUUUUGCCCUGGUAUCUGUCUGAAGAAAAAAACUUAACAUGAUUCAUUCUUCAGAAAGAGAAGUACCGAAAGUUAUCAUAAUAUAAUUAUCAACAGCCAUCUGAAAAAUAAUAAAAUCAAAUUCGGGGAAUUUUUUAGAAUAAACCGCUAUUAGUUUUUUAUUUUAUUUUGAAUCUAAUAAGAGAUGAUUUAAAAUCGUCUUCGACUUCAUUAAACUUGGGGGCUAUUAUAGAACUCGAGUUUACCUUUGAACAACCGAUGUCAACGAGUGGUCGAUCAUAAUUCAUAAAUGAGUAUUUACUUAUCAUAUUAUUUGACAUAACGCGGCUUAUGUCAAUGUGGGACUAUCCCUCUGCUCAGUUAUAUAAUAAUAAAUAUAGAUAUCUAGAUUUAAAUUUCAGUUUAUAAUUACAUAUUAAUUACUUUCAAAACAACUAGUCGAUUGGUCGCGGUGCGAACGCGAUUUGACUGUUCAAGAAGCAGUCAGUUCGCGUAUGCUCAAGGAAACCAAGUAUAUUUAAUUUGCAUUGUAUCAGCAGUGACAGUUGCGUGGUAGGGACACGGGAUCUUAGAUCGCUGUCACGAUUGCAUAACGGAAAACGUACCUUAACGUCAUCGUUAUAACAUCUUUGUAAACAUUUUGAAGAGAAUGAUGCAGCUUAUUGUGCAUAUGAUUUUUCUGCAUAGCAGUGUGGAGAAAAAUGUAGUGCACACAUAACACCAAGAAAUAAUGAAGUUUAUAGUGGCCAACUGGAAUACUUAGUGCUCGGAUGUUUGCAUAAUAUUUUAGGUGAAUACAAUUUGAUUUAUUAAAUUUAAUGAAUAAUGCCAGUUCAAGAAUAGUAUUAACCUGUUUCACAAUUUAUAUUGUUACCGUCGUUUUUAUUAUUGUGUCUUACAAUUUGCAAUAUUUCCCAUUAAUGACUAUGACUUUUAAAUAGUUACAAACAAUACUACUUUAUAGAUGCUCAAGUAUGCUCUCUGCAUGAGGCUUGUUAAAUCAAUAAAAUCCUCAAAAGACCCAUUGAAUUGGCUCUUAAUUACACCUUAGUUAACAGAAUCUGUAAAUACAUAAAAUAUCCACUUAACUUAACUGGCUAAAUAAUUUACCAAUGACUUGAAUUUUUUGAUAUAAUGGGGAGAAGAAAUGUUAUGUCAGUGUCUAUUUGUUUAGUUAAUAUAAAUUCUACACAUAAAGAUAUAUACAUAGUCAAUUCUUGUCAUCUUGUUUAAUCAUCAGAAACACUUCAUUAUAUCAGACUAUCAGUAAAACUUAUUUUCAAUAAACAAAUUUAUUAGUUCAAGAUUUUAUUUGUUCAUUCAUAUAGGUAUUCAAAAUUUUCCACUACUAAAAGCAAUUGUUAAAGUCGUCUACUAUUAACUUGCACUACGCCAUUUGAGUAAUCAGUCUCUUUGUCAAACACUGCAGUAUUGAUUUCUGUUUCCUUAAUAACAACGGACUUCUGCCUGAAUAAUGUAAAUAGCUUUAAUUUUGGAACAAAUAAAACACAAUGUUUAAAUAUCAAAUAUAAAUAGUCAGAGUAUCAUAUACCAAUAAUUUAUAAAUAAUAAAAAGAAUUCUCACCAUUUAAAUAUAUAAUUUUUUUUUUAAAUUUAAUUCAGGUCACAAAAAUAUUUCAAGAACAAAAUAUUUUAGUGGAAAUGAAUAUCUACAUUUUUUAAGCAAAUUCUUGUGUUGAAGGCAGAGCACAUACAUAAAAUAUAG
rnacentral:lncRNA from 1 species